rnacentral:tRNA from 3 species
GAGAGAGGCCCGCUAGCAAUGAAGACUGCUAAUCUUCACCACUUUGGUUGAACCCCAGAGCUCACUCAG